rnacentral:miRNA from 1 species
AUGUUCAUCUGAAUUGUUGGCA